rnacentral:rRNA from 1 species
UAUCAAUAAGCGGAGGAAAAGAAACCAACAGGGAUUGCCCUAGUAACGGCGAGUGAAGCGGCAGUAGCUCAAAUUUGAAAUCUGGCUCCCCCCCGCGGGGUGCCCGAGUUGUAAUUUGCAGAGGAUGCCUCUGGCGCGGCGCCUUCCGAGUUCCCUGGAACGGGACGCCAUAGAGGGUGAGAGCCCCGUAUGGUCGGCAGCCAAGCCUCUGUGAGGCUCCUUCGACGAGUCGAGUAGUUUGGGAAUGCUGCUCAAAAUGGGAGGUAUAUGUCUUCUAAAGCUAAAUACCGGCCAGAGACCGAUAGCGCACAAGUAGAGUGAUCGAAAGAUGAAAAGCACUUUGAAAAGAGGGUUAAACAGUACGUGAAAUUGUUGAAAGGGAAGCGCUCGCGACCAGACUCGGGCCCGGCGGAUCAUCCGGCGUUCUUCGCCGGUGCACUCCGCCGGCGCCCGGGCCAGCAUCGGCUCGCCGCGGGGGAUAAAGGCGGCGGGAACGUGGCCCCUCCGGGGGUGUUAUAGCCCGCCGCGCAAUGCCCCGCGCCGGGCCGAGGACCGCGCCCCAGGGCAAGGAUGCUGGCGUAAUGGUCGCUAGCGACCCGUCUUGAAACACGGACCAAGGAGUCGUCUUCGUAUGCGAGUGUUCGGGUGUCAAACCCCUACGCGCAAUGAAAGUGAACGCGGGUGAGAGCCCUCGCGGGCGCAUCACCGACCGAUCCUGAUGUUCUCGGAUGGAUUUGAGUAAGAGCAUACGGGGCCGGACCCGAAAGAAGGUGAACUAUGCCUGUGUAGGGUGAAGCCAGAGGAAACUCUGGUGGAGGCUCGCAGCGGUUCUGACGUGCAAAUCGAUCGUCAAACAUGGGCAUGGGGGCGAAAGACUAAUCGAACCUUCUAGUAGCUGGUUC